rnacentral:rRNA from 1 species
CGUGGGAACGUACCCUUCUCUACGGAAUAGUCUCGGGAAACUGGGUUUAAUACCGUAUACGCCCUUCGGGGGAAAGAUUUAUCGGGGAAGGAUCGGCCCGCGUUGGAUUAGGUAGUUGGUGGGGUAAUGGCCUACCAAGCCUACGAUCCAUAGCUGGUUUGAGAGGAUGAUCAGCAACACUGGGACUGAGACACGGCCCAGACUCCUACGGGAGGCAGCAGUGGGGAAUCUUCGGCAAUGGGCGCAAGCCUGACCGAGCCAUGCCGCGUGAGUGAAGAAGGCCUUAGGGUCGUAAAGCUCUUUCGCCAGGGAUGAUAAUGACAGUACCUGGUAAAGAAACCCCGGCUAACUCCGUGCCAGCAGCCGCGGUAAUACGGAGGGGGUUAGCGUUGUUCGGAAUUACUGGGCGUAAAGCGCACGUAGGCGGAUCAGAAAGUAUGGGGUGAAAUCCCGGGGCUCAACCCCGGAACUGCCUCAUAAACUCCUGGUCUUGAGUUCGAGAGAGGUGAGUGGAAUUCCGAGUGUAGAGGUGAAAUUCGUAGAUAUUCGGAGGAACACCAGUGGCGAAGGCGGCUCACUGGCUCGAUACUGACGCUGAGGUGCGAAAG